rnacentral:SRP_RNA from 1 species
ACGAAUGUAUCACCCAAGGAGUGUGGGUGAACCAGGUCAGGUCAGGAAUGGAGCAGCCUUAAGCUUCUCAUUCUUGUGGGUGGUACACUAAUAUA